GAUGAACGCUGGCGGCGUGCCUAAUACAUGCAAGUCGAGCGAACGGACGAGAAGCUUGCUUCUCUGAUGUUAGCGGCGGACGGGUGAGUAACACGUGGAUAACCUACCUAUAAGACUGGGAUAACUUCGGGAAACCGGAGCUAAUACCGGAUGAUAUUUUGAACCGCAUGGUUCAAAAGUGAAAGACGGUCUUGCUGUCACUUAUAGAUGGAUCCGCGCUGCAUUAGCUAGUUGGUAAGGUAACGGCUUACCAAGGCAACGAUGCAUAGCCGACCUGAGAGGGUGAUCGGCCACACUGGAACUGAGACACGGUCCAGACUCCUACGGGAGGCAGCAGUAGGGAAUCUGCCGCAAUGGGCGAAAGCCUGACGGAGCAACGCCGCGGGAGUGAUGAAGGUCUUCGGAUCGUAAAACUCUGUUAUUAGGGAAGAACAUAUGUGUAAGUAACUGUGCACAUCUUGACGGUACCUAAUCAGAAAGCCACGGCUAACUACGU
rnacentral:rRNA from 1 species